UUGCCCCUGGGGUGCGCGUGACGGACGCAAGCACUCCGACCGACAACGAUAGAAAAGGGAGCCCACAUCCGGUCGCGCUGCGGGUGGCGAAAGCCCCGCAGUUAGGGGCGGCCGGAAACCAAGCACCCACCUGGUAGACCCGGGUUCGAGUGAUACGUCCGAACGGCAUCACCGGGGGCACC
rnacentral:other from 1 species